UUGCUGUGGUAUUUUGACUAUACGAAGGUAUUGAAAUAAGAUUUUAAAUGAGUGCUAAGAGAAUGAUUAAACAAUUAAAAGCUUUCUUUAAUUGAAUAAUUGAAUUUAAUUUUUUAGUGCAAAAGCAAAAAUAAAAAUUAGGGACAAGAAGACCCUAUGAAUUUUUUAUUAAAUUUUAUAAAACUUUAUAUAAAAUUUAAUUUAAUUGGGGUGAUGGAAAAAGAAUAAAUAUCUUUUUUUUAAAAAAAAUUGGUUCCGUUUUUAGCGAUUAAAUGAAAAAAAUACUCUAGGGAUAACAGCGUAAUAAUUUUGGAUAGUUCAUAUAGAUAAAAUAGUUUGCGACCUCGAUGUUGGAUUAGGAU
rnacentral:rRNA from 1 species